rfam:Atta colombica isolate Treedump-2 unplaced genomic scaffold scaffold105, whole genome shotgun sequence.
UUUAAAUGAUGAAAUUGAUUGGUCCGUGUUACUGAUUUAUCAAUGAUUUUAUAUCCAAUCUCUGACUAA